GGCGGCGAGGCGAGGCCUGCGGAGCGGAGGAAGACAAACAUAAAGAUGAAGUGCUUAAUUCAAGGUCACACAAUGUCGGGGAUGGACCUCCAGAUUUCCUUACUGAAUAAAAACUCUUGGAGCUGAAAAGAGCCUUUGAAGUAAUUUUAUGCAGUCUCCUUGUCUCCAGCCUGCCAUCCAAUUACAGGAAUGUUUUCUAUCAUUCUCCUGACAAAUGAUCUUUCAAGUUCUCUUUGAAUACCUCCAUUAAUAGGGGAGCUCAUCAGUUCUUAGGACAUCGUUGUUGAAAAGCUCUCAUUGAUUUGAGACGGAGUCCCACUCUGUCACCCAGGCUGGAGUGCAGUGGCACGAUAUCGGCUCACUGCAACCUCCACCUCCUGGGUUCAAGUGAUUCUUCUGCCUUGGCCUCCUGAGUAGCUGGGAUUACAGGAAAACAAGCUCAGGGCUCCCACUGAUUGUACAUUAUGACCAAGUGUGUUGGGGACUUGAGAUGCGUACAUGAGUGUGAUGUUUCCUGCUGAAAGCACAGGUGAGACGUGGUCUUGUAACACAGUGGUUAAGAAUGUGACUUUGGAGCCAGCCUGCUAGGGGCUGAAUUCUGACUCAGCCAUUUACUAACUGUGUGACCUUAGGUGGAGUCUCACUCUGUAGCCCAAGCUGGAGUGGCGUGAUCUCGACUCACUGCAACCUCCGCCUCCUGGGAUCAAGUGAUUCUCGUGCCUCAGCCUCCUGAGUAGCCGGGACUACAGGGGACCAGAUGUGCAGAGGUAAUGAAUACCAGGGAAUCAGGAAACCACUGGAUCAGUUCUUUGAGCCACAGAACAACACUCAUCCCAGCAGCUGGGAAGCUAUCUGCAAAAGUCCAUCUGCAGAAAGGGCUUCCUGGUCUUGCGUGUGGCUGGGCCAUUUCUCUGGAUGCAGGUUUUUCAUUAUACAGUCUUCUCAAAGAACCACCUGCUCUCAACACCUUCUCGGUGACUCCAUUUCCCCUCCUCU
ensembl:lncRNA PCBP1-AS1 PCBP1 antisense RNA 1